rnacentral:rRNA from 1 species
UACGUAGGGACCAAGCGUUGUUCGGAUUUACUGGGCGUAAAGGGCGCGUAGGCGGCUUGACAAGUCACUUGUGAAAUCUCCGGGCUUAACUCGGAACGGCCGAGUGAAACUGUCAUGCUAGAGUGCAGAAGGGGCAAUCGGAAUUCUUGGUGUAGCGGUGAAAUGCGUAGAUAUCAAGAGGAACACCUGAGGUGAAGACGGGUUGCUGGGCUGACACUGACGCUGAUGCGCGAAAGCCAGGGGAGCAAACGGG